AACAACUCACCUGCCGAAUGAAUCAGCCCUGAAAAUGGAUGGCGCUUAAGCGGGCGACCGACAUCAUGCCGUCUGUAUAAGAGUAAAUUUUACAGAUGAGUAGGAGGACGUGGCGGUUGUGUCGAAGCAUGCGUGCGAACGCGUGUGGAACGGCCGCUAGUGCAGAUCUUGGUGGUAGUAGCAAAUAUUCAAGCGAGAUCCUUGAAGGGCGAAGCGGGGAAGGGUUCCACGCAAACAUUGAUUGGGCGUGGGUGAGUCGUUCCUAAGCCGAGUGGCAAUUGCUAAGUAGCGGCGAAAGGGAAGCAGGUUGACAUUCCUGCACACGGAUGUGGAGGCGGUGACGCUUUAAUGAGGGCGAAGACGCUGGCGAUGGCGCUGGGCAGAGAUUUCUUUUCUGUUUAACCGCUGAAGCGCGCGGUGUGGAAUCCGCUUGUCGGGAGAAACACGCUCGUUCGGGCAGAGCGCCGGGGCUAUUCCGGCGUCCAGCUCGCCAUCGACGGCCCUUGAAAAUUUGCCUGCUGGAAUAGUUUUUUUUAUAUUCUAUGAAGAUCCACGCCGUGGCGUACCGAUAACCGCAUCAGGUCCCCAAGGUGAACAGCCUCUGCUCUAUAUGAAUAAU
rnacentral:rRNA from 1 species